AUCAGGUAGGAAUACCCGCUGAACUUAAGCAUAUCAAUAAGCGGAGGAAAAGAAACUAACCAGGAUUCCCCUAGUAACGGCGAGUGAAGCGGGAAUAGCUCAAAUUUUAAAUCUGGCUGGCGUGGUCAGUCCGAGUUGUAAUUUGAAGAAGCGUCUAUUACGUUUUCGUUCGGGUUCAAGUUCCUUGGAAUAGGACCUCAGAGAGGGUGAGAAUCCCGUCUGUGAUCCGAUCGGUUGCGGUACGAUAUCGUUUCUAAGAGUCGAGUUGUUUGGGAUUGCAGCUCAAAAUGGGUGGUAAAUUCCAUCUAAGGCUAAAUAUUGGCGAGAGACCGAUAGCGAACAAGUACCGUGAGGGAAAGAUGAAAAGAACUUUGAAAAGAGAGUUAAACAGUACGUGAAAUUGUUGAUAGGGAAACGAUUGAAGUCAGUCAUGCCGGUGAGAAAUCAGCUCAUAGGCUACUAUGGGUGCACUUUUUCGCAAGGCAGGUUAACAUCGGUUUCUGUUGCGUCAUAAUGAUUGUAGGAAGGUGGCUCCUUCGGGAGUGUUAUAGCCUACUUUAGAUGGCGUGACGGGGACUGAGGAUUGCAGCGAAUGCUUUGCUACGGAUCUUGUCUCUGUCGAUCUUCAAUUAGUUUUCAGCUUGCUGAGCUCUGGUUGAUAGGUUUACAAUAGGUUUGAUUUUCGUUAAAUUCGCUAAGGAUGUUGACGUAAUGGCUUUAAACGACCCGUCUUGAAACACGGACCAAGGAGUCUAACAUAUGUGCGAGUGUU
rnacentral:rRNA from 1 species